rnacentral:rRNA from 1 species
GACGAACCGUGCGAACGUUGCUCGGAAUCACUGGGCUUAAAGGGCGCGUAGGCGGGUCUUCAAGUCCGGGGUGAAAGCCCACGGCUCAACCGUGGAAGCGCCUUGGAUACUGGAGGUCUCGAGGGAGGUAGGGGCGUGCGGAACUUCCGGUGGAGCGGUGAAAUGCGUAGAUAUCUGGAGGAACACCGGUGGCGAAGGCGGCAUCCUGGACC